rnacentral:rRNA from 1 species
GACGAACGCUGGCGGCGUGCCUAAUACAUGCAAGUCGAACGCAGGGGGGACGGGUGAGUAACACGUGGGUAACCUCCCAUCAGAGGGGAGAACACUUGGAAAAAGGUGCUAAACCGAUACGGGUGGAUGAACCAGCGGUGCAUUAGCUAGUUGGUGAGGUAACGGCUCACCAAGGCCACGAGGCAUAGCCGACCUGAGAGGGUGACCUGCCACACUGGAACGGAGACACGGCCCAGACUCCUACGGUAGGCAGCAGUGGGGAAUCUUCGGCAAUGGACGAAAGUCUGACCGAGCAACGCCGCUUGAGUGAAGAAGGUUUUCGGAUCGUAAAGCUCUUUUGUUAGAGAAGCGUUAUCUAACCAGAAAGCCACGGCUAACUACGUGCCAGCAGCCGCGGUAAUAC